CAGCGCGUGAGUCAUGCGGGGGUGGGCGUGAGGGACGGGGCGGCAGUCCCUCGGAGGUAACCCCACACUCCGGGGCAGCGGACCCCGGUUCCCGAAAGAACCUCGCAAAACGCGGAGAGUGGGACUGGGUUUGGCAAUUUUUGGUCAGUCGACUCCAUCCAGUUACCCUGUUACAAGGCAACACCUUGGCUUUAGAAGAAGCAUGCUGUUGUAAUGGAUGUGAUUUCUUCAUGCCUUUAAAUUUGUCAUUUCACAACCAAAAGAUUAUUUUCC
rnacentral:lncRNA from 1 species